rnacentral:misc_RNA from 1 species
AAAGAUAUCGCUGUGUCAAUGUAUCACCACUUCAAAAAUGUUGGGAUGCUUGGCGAUGUCGAAAACUUUCAAAUCUUUUUGGAAAAGAUGUUCAUGAAUCCAAAAGCUCAAGUUAUGGAUGGAUGGUUUAAGUUUGAGAAGGACUUUGAAAAAGCAAAAAAGAACGACAAACUUGGAGCUAUUAUCACUGUUCAUUAUGAGAGCUUAAAAAAGAAUCCAGUGCAAGAAACCAAACGACUGGCUGAGUAUUUGAAUGUUGAACUUAGUAAGGAAGAAAUCACAGAAAUAUCGGAUAAAUGUAGCUUCAAGAAGCUAAAGCUGGCCAGUCAGACUGUCAAAGACAACUCAUUAGUGGCGAAUGUCGAACUUUUUAAAAAGACGGAGCCGUUUGUUCAUAGGAAAGGAGAAAUCGGAGACUGGAAGAACCAUUUUACCGUUGCUAUGAAUGAAAAUUUCGAUGCAAUCUUCAAGGAGGAAAUGAAAAAUUCUAAUAUCCAAGUGCAAUUCGAGUGACAAUUGGUGUUGAAAGUACCAAUUCAAUCUACGUUUAUUUUGGAACGAAUAUCAAUUAUAUGUAUUAGGUGACGUCGAAAAGGAAGCAUAAAAAAGAACCCGUUUCAUAUCUUCCUUUUUUUUGUUUAAGGUAGUUUUAGAUGUUGGAAGUGCUCACUUCUUGCAAAGCACAUUGCAUAACUAAGUCACAAAUUGAAAGUAUUUUGAUUUUUUUAGUGCAUUGGUUUUUUAAGCUAGUAGUCGUUCGCUUGCAAAUAAGAAUUAAAAAUCUGGUUGAAAUAGAGUAAUCUAGGAUAACAGAUAAUAUAGAAACAUUUUUUUUUUUCACAUUGCAUUGCUUGGUUACAUAUUCAAAGGAUUUGUUAUUUUAAUUGCGAUGAUUUUUAAGACAGUGCCCAUUUGCUUGCAAAAUGAACUCAAAACGUAGUUAAAUUCCACGUAAGAUCACGUGUGAUGAGGUGCAUGCUCCAAAAAGUUGCAUGUACUGUGAUCAUCUUUUUGCAUUAAGAAAAUGAUGUUUGAAUACAAACUAUGUGCAUGAGACAAUUUUUUUCAUUCAUUUGUUUUGUAAUCAUUCUAAUGUACAAGUAGCGAACAUUCUGUAUAUUGGUUUCAUAUAACGUCUGUCUUGUGCCAAAAGCGGUUUAUCAUAUUUGUAAUAUCACUGACAAACAUCAGAAGGAGGAGAAACAUGAAGCAUACUAGUAAUUCAGAAAAUGAUAUUUAAAUGCAAACAAUGUGCAUGAGACAAUUUUUUUUAUUCAUUUGUAUGAAUAUGUUUCAACGUCAUUGCCUUUAUGGUUAUUUAAAAAUAAUCCACAUGUUAGAUAUAUUUUAAAUGCCCACGAAGAAUAAAUCUUCUUUUCUUUGCUAAAGAAU